AUGUUGAUUAACAACAUAAUUAUGGGAAGAGGGAAAGCUGAGAUUUUGCUUAAAUGGACUCCUCUUAAGAUAUCUUUUGCCAAGUUGAAUGUUGAUGGUGCUCACAAUAGUAAAGGUUUAUCGGGAUGUGGAGGAAUUAUUAGGGACGAGCAUGGAUGUUGGCUAGGUGGCUUCUCCAAAGGCAUAGGUUGUUGCAGCCCUUUGAUGGUGGAAUUUUGGAGCAUUUUCAUUGGAAUAUGGUUGCUGGAAAUAUGGUGUCUCGGAUUAAGGCCUUAA